GAUCGUGUGGCCUAAUGGAUAAGGCGUCGGACUUCGGAUCCGAAG
rnacentral:tRNA from 1 species